AUUAUGGUACAUCCAGAUGGGUAUCUAGGUAUUUAACACAUGCAAGUUGAAUGAUCAAUUUAUUGAUCAUAGCGUAGGGGUCAGGAAUAGUCAAGAAGAUACCUAAGAGAUCAUAGAAAUAAUGAAUACAACAAAAGGAAUAAUUUCCGCUCUUAGAUUCGCUUGAUUCCCAAUAGGUAGUUGGAAAGAUUAAGCUUAACAAGCCGAUAAUGGGUAAUGUAGGAUGAGAGUCUUAACCAUGACAUUGGAAAUGAAAAAGUCCAAAGUAUCAAACGAUGCGCAGCAGUGAAGAAUAUUGGUCAAUGCACUAAAGUGUGAACCAGUAACCUAGAUUCGGUAAUUCAAGUUAUUGAAGAUCGAUAAAAAAUUUUAAAUGAUGAUUAGAAUUUUAUUAGUCCUGUCCAAUAUUUGUGCCAGCAGAAGCGGUUACACAGAAAGGGCGACCCAUUGGAGAAAUGAAUGGGUGUAUAGGGUACGUAGCCGGUCGAUAUAAAUUCGACUAGAAUUUAAUAGAAGUAAUAAGAAUACCUAGAGUAGAUCUGACAAGUGUUGAUACUAGGGGGAAUGCAAAUAGCGAAGGCAUAUUACUAGAUAAAAAUUGACGGUAAGGUACGAAAGUUAGGGCAUAAAAAGAGAUUAGAUACCUCAGUAUUCCUAACCGUAAACGAUGCAAACUAGAUCUUAGUUAAUGUUAGAAGCUAGGGUCGAAUUUAACGAUUUAAGUUUGCCACCUGUAGAGUAUAGUCGCAUGGCUGAAAUACAAAUAAUUAGACGGCUUUAAAGCAAACGGAGUGGAGCAUGUUAUUUAAUUCGAUUAUCCGCGAAUAAUCUUACCACAUCUUGCAUAAUAAUAAUACCUCAAUUUUUUUCAAUUUUUGCAAAAGAAGAGAAAAGAAAGAGAAUAAACAAACAUAACUAUUAUUAUUACAGGUAUUGCAUGGUUGUCGUCAGUUAGUGCUAGUAAGGUCUAUGGUUAAUUCCGUUAAACUAACGCAAUCCUCGCCACAUAUAAUACAACAUUGUGGUUUUGUUUCCACAAAAAACAAAUGAAAGGGGAGUAUGACAAAUCCUUAUGGUCCUUAUGGUGUGGGCUAUAGACGUGCUACAAGAGUAAUUAACAAAAUGAUGCAAUAUUGAAAAAUGGAGCUAAUCACGAAACAUUACUAAAAUACAGAUUGAGGACUGAAACUCGUCCUCAUGAAGCAGGAAUUCCGAGUAAUCGCAAAUCACUAUGUUGCGGUGAAAGACAGAUCUUUGAAGUGUACUAACUGCUCAUCACAGGACGAAAGGUUUGAGAUAGCAAAGUAGAAUAAGUUAUUAUAAGUAAUAAUUUCAGCUUUAUGGCACCUUAUUUAGGUAAAACAUAAUGGUUUAUUCUACAAACUACAAAAACUGAUUGUUUUGAAGUUGAAACAAGGUAAUCCUAGGGGAACCUGGGGUUGG
rnacentral:rRNA from 1 species